rnacentral:tRNA from 1 species
GGUUCUGUGGCCUAAUGGUUAAGGCAACCAGUUCCCAAAUGGCUGAUCUCACAGUUCAAGUGCCAGACCCA